rnacentral:rRNA from 1 species
GAGUUUGAUCGUGGCUCAGAGCGAACGCUGGCGGCAGGCCUAACACAUGCAAGUCGAACGGAUCCUUCGGGAUUAGUGGCGGACGGGUGAGUAACACGUGGGAACGUGCCCUUUGGUACGGAACAACUCAGGGAAACUUGAGCUAAUACCGUAUGUGCCCUUCGGGGAAAGAUUAUCGCCAUUGAGCGGCCCGCGUCUGAUUAGUCUAGUUGGUGAGGUAAAGGACUCACCAAGGCUACGAUCAGUAGCUGGUCUGAGAGGAUGAUCAGCCACACUGGGACUGAGACACGGCCCAGACUCCUACGGGAGGCAGCAGUGGGGAAUCUUGCGCAAUGGGCGAAAGCCUGACGCAGCCAUGCCGCGUGAAUGAUGAAGGUCUUAGGAUUGUAAAAUUACUUUC